rnacentral:rRNA from 1 species
GACGAACGCUGGCGGCGUGCUUAACACAUGCAAGUCGAACGCUGAAGCUCAGCUUGCUGGGUGGAUGAGUGGCGAACGGGUGAGUAACACGUGAGUAACCUGCCCCCUUCUUUGGGAUAACGCCCGGAAACGGGUGCUAAUACUGGAUAUUCACUGAUCUUCGCAUGGGGGUUGGUGGAAAGGUUUGUUCUGGUGGGGGAUGGGCUCGCGGCCUAUCAGCUUGUUGGUGGGGUGAUGGCCUACCAAGGCUUUGACGGGUAGCCGGCCUGAGAGGGUGACCGGUCACAUUGGGACUGAGAUACGGCCCAGACUCCUACGGGAGGCAGCAGUGGGGAAUAUUGCACAAUGGGCGCAAGCCUGAUGCAGCGACGCCGCGUGAGGGAUGGAGGCCUUCGGGUUGUAAACCUCUUUCGCUCAUGGUCAAGCCGCAACAGUGGUUGUGGUGAGGGUAGUGGGUAAAGAAGCGCCGGCUAACUACGUGCCAGCAGCCGCGGUAAUACGUAGGGCGCGAGCGUUGUCCGGAAUUAUUGGGCGUAAAGGGCUUGUAGGCGGUUGGUCGCGUCUGCCGUGAAAUCCUCUGGCUUAACUGGGGGCGUGCGGUGGGUACGGGCUGACUUGAGUGCGGUAGGGGAGACUGGAACUCCUGGUGUAGCGGUGGAAUGCUAGAUAUCAUGAAGAACACCCGUGGCGAAGGCGGUCUCUGGGGCCGUUACUGUGCUGAGGAGCGAAGCAUGGGGGAGCGAACAGG